UUCUUAUUCAAAUUGAUACUAAUUCACAAUAAUUACUGUGUAUAUUAGCAAUGCCGACACAUGUAUAAAUAUACUAUGAUAGUAACAUUUGUUUAUAGUCGUUACAGUUUAAUUCACAAGUGGCUAAGUAGGCAGCAGAACAGUUAUUUCUGGAACAACCAGGAUAUCCGGAACGAGAGAAUAACAACUUUUGAAGAUAGUUUAUCGCACGUAACAUACUUACUACCUACUCGGAUACUCCAUUGAAUUCCUGUAAUUGUAAUACAUGAACGGACAUUAAAGCAGAACGCAAUAGGAUGUAUACAAGGAAGCAGACUGAACUCAUAAAUAUAAAAGAUGAAUCACUUAUCCUCAGAAAUGAUGUACCGCAUAUUUUCACAAAGUCUACUAUGUCUUGAACUAAAAAGUUCUUAAUAUGCAUUGGGAAAUAGAUAAAGAAAAAUAGGUAACACCGUGAAAUACAAUAUCAAUAUACCUGCGAAUAGAUCAGUACUUUAUAAUGGAGUUAAUAAAUCCUUGCAAUUACCAAACUUAAUAAGACAUCACUGAUACAUCUUCAGCUCAGAUUAAAUUGAUACGUUACUAAGCUUUGUUUCUGAUGACAUUGUGAGAUGGUGUUGAUAAAUAAAAUAGUAAUUUGGUGAUGUGAACACGUUUAAUGGUACCCAUAAAAAUAAAAGCAAAUGUUAUAAAAUAUAUUUUUCACCGGCUCAGAUGGCUGUUAUUUUAAAUAAUAGCAUUAUUAUUUCAUAAAAUUUUCCCCAGUCACCAUUUAAUGUCUUAUGUCAUGGAGUAUGAAUGUUAUCAUUUCGAAUGCGCUAUUUUCUGGGAAAUUUGUAGAAGGAUUCAUUUAUAUUUCCGUGAUAAAUAUUUACACUGUUAAUUAUAAAGGGAAAAUGUUUCUUUGUUAAUAAACCAUAGCUUUGUAAAUGGACACUGGUCAUAUUAUUUAUUAGUAUUGAACGAAUCAAUACACAAUACCAGACUUUUUGUUUAGGUCCAUUAAUAUGUUAAAUACCUAAUAAUAUAACAAAUUUUCAUAAUUUAUGGUAUUUCGGCAAUUUCUUUAAUGUGCCCUCAAAAUUUUACUAUCGUUACCAGCAUAAAAGUUUCAUUACAAAAAAAAAACUUCAGUUUCAAAUAAUAAUUGGUUAAAUUUUAGAGUAAUAAAUGUCACAUGUAUAAUUUACUUUUUCUUCAGGUCAUUUGCGCUCUCCCCUUGCCAAUGGCGUGUGACGUUUGUUAUUCGUGACUAUUCUUUAAGUGUAAAUAUAUCACUUCAUUGAACAAACAUCACUGAUGCGAAUAUAUGUGAAUGUUUACUUAGUUCAUAUUUUAGGUCCAAAAACAAAACUGUGAAGCAGUCCUGUUGAUAUUCCCUCACUUAUGGAAGAUUUAUCAUAAGUAGGUGUAUCUAAUCUUAUAUUUGUCUAUGCAUAUAGAUGUAAGUACAUAUUUAAUUAUACUUGGGUUGAGUCUGGCCUACAUAAGAAGUUAAGCUUACAUAGAUUGAGCACUAGGUAUUCACUAGGCAAGUACCUAGUAAAAAAUAAAUGUAUGAUUACUUGUAACGUAGCAAUGGUUUAUGAGUUUACAGUUUACAAACAAUCAGUAAUUAGAGAUAGAGGCGUGGUUCCACUUAACAUUGACGCUUUGAUAAUGUAAUUUGCAGACCUCGUGUUGGCAUUCAGCGUUAGUAUUUACACAUAAAACCGCGCACCUGCGGUGGUGUUGGA